rnacentral:rRNA from 1 species
GUUGGCUUUGAUAGGGUGCUCUCGAGAGGCCCACCUUCAUUCUUCUACCCUGUGCACUAUUAUCACAUUCAGCAGUUGGUAGUUUGGCUUUCAGGAGCCUUACGACUCUGCUGGAUUCAUUUUUAAAACUCUACAAGUCUAAGAAUGUUACAAACUAUAACAAAAUAAAACUUUCAACAACGGAUCUCUUGGCUCUCGCAUCGAUGAAGAACGCAGCGAAAUGUGAUAAGUAAUGUGAAUUGCAGAAUUCAGUGAACCAUCGAAUCUUUGAACGCACCUUGCGCUCGCUGGUAUUCCGGCGAGCAUGCCUGUUUGAGUGUCAUGAACUCUUCAACCCUUCAGUUCCUUGUUGAACUGUGAGGUGUUUGGAUUUUGAAUGUCUGCUGGCCCUUGGGUUUUAAAUCUUUUGGGCGAAGCUCGUUCGUAAUGCAUUAGCAUCUCAAUUUCAAAUUUUCGGAUUGACUCGGCGUAAUAGACUUUAUUCGCUGAGGACACCUUUUCAAAGGUGGCCGAAGUUUGAGGUAGAAGCUUCCAAUUCUCCAAUUUGAAGUCAAAUUAUUUAAGAUUAGACCUCAGAUCAGGCAGGACUACCCGCUGAACUUAAGCAUAUCAAUAAGCGGAGGAAGAA